AGUUAUCUGAACCUUCGGGGAACGAUAACGGCGUCGAGCGGCGGACGGGUGAGUAAUGCCUAGGAAAUUGCCCUGAUGUGGGGGAUAACCAUUGGAAACGAUGGCUAAUACCGCAUGAUGCCUACGGGCCAAAGAGGGGGACCUUCGGGCCUCUCGCGUCAGGAUAUGCCUAGGUGGGAUUAGCUAGUUGGUGAGGUAAGGGCUCACCAAGGCGACGAUCCCUAGCUGGUCUGAGAGGAUGAUCAGCCACACUGGAACUGAGACACGGUCCAGACUCCUACGGGAGGCAGCAGUGGGGAAUAUUGCACAAUGGGCGCAAGCCUGAUGCAGCCAUGCCGCGUGUGUGAAGAAGGCCUUCGGGUUGUAAAGCACUUUCAGUCGUGAGGAAGGCGGUGUCGUUAAUAGCGGCAUCGUUUGACGUUAGCGACAGAAGAAGCACCGGCUAACUCCGUGCCAGCAGCCGCGGUAAUACGGAGGGUGCGAGCGUUAAUCGGAAUUACUGGGCGUAAAGCGCAUGCAGGUGGUUUGUUAAGUCAGAUGUGAAAGCCCGGGGCUCAACCUCGGAAUAGCAUUUGAAACUGGCAGACUAGAGUACUGUAGAGGGGGGUAGAAUUUCAGGUGUAGCGGUGAAAUGCGUAGAGAUCUGAAGGAAUACCGGUGGCGAAGGCGGCCCCCUGGACAGAUACUGACACUCAGAUGCGAAAGCGUGGGGAGCAAACAGGAUUAGAUACCCUGGUAGUCCACGCCGUAAACGAUGUCUACUUGGAGGUUGUGGCCUUGAGCCGUGGCUUUCGGAGCUAACGCGUUAAGUAGACCGCCUGGGGAGUACGGUCGCAAGAUUAAAACUCAAAUGAAUUGACGGGGGCCCGCACAAGCGGUGGAGCAUGUGGUUUAAUUCGAUGCAACGCGAAGAACCUUACCUACUCUUGACAUCCAGAGAACUUUCCAGAGAUGGAUUGG
rnacentral:rRNA from 1 species